GACGAACGCUGGCGGCGUGCCUAACACAUGCAAGUCGAGCGGAGCUAAUAGCAAUGUUAGUUUAGCGGCGGACGGGUGAGUAACGCGUGGGCAACCUGCCUUAAACUGGGGGAUAACACAGGGAAACUUGUGCUAAUACCGCAUAACAUCAUGAGAGGACAUCCUUUUAUGAUCAAAGGAGCAAUCCGGUUUGAGAUGGGCCCGCGUCCAAUUAGCUAGUUGGUGAUGUAACGGACCACCAAGGCGACGAUUGGUAGCCGAACUGAGAGGUUGAUCGGCCACAUUGGGACUGAGACACGGCCCAGACUCCUACGGGAGGCAGCAGUGGGGAAUAUUGCGCAAUGGGGGAAACCCUGACGCAGCAACGCCGCGUGAAGGAUGAAGGCUUUCGGGUUGUAAACUUCUUUGAUGAGGGACGAAUAAUGACGGUACCUCAAAAACAAGCCACGGCUAACUACGUG
rnacentral:rRNA from 1 species